CCUACGGGAGGCAGCAGUGGGGAAUAUUGCACAAUGGGGGAAACCCUGAUGCAGCAACGCCGCGUGAGUGAGGAAGUAUUUCGGUAUGUAAAGCUCGAUCAGCAGGGAAGAGAAAAGAAGGAACCGGAAAAAGAAGCCCAGGCUAACUACGUGCCAGCAGCCGCGGUAAGACGUAGGGGGCAAGCGUUAGCCGGAUUUACUGGGUGUAAAGGGAGCGUAGACGGAAAGGCAAGUCAGAAGUGAAAGCCCAAGGCUCAACCAGGGGACUGCUUUUGAAACUGUCAAACUAGAGUACGGGAGAGGUAAGAGGACUUCCUAGUGUAGCGGUGACAUGCGUAGAUAUUAGGAGGAACACCAGUGGCGAAGGCGUCUUACUGGACCGAACCUGCCGUUGAGGCUCGAACGCGUGGGGAGCAAACAGGAUUAGAUACCCUUGUAGUC
rnacentral:rRNA from 1 species